rnacentral:rRNA from 1 species
GUGGGGAAUAUUGGACAAUGGGGGCAACCCUGAUCCAGCCAUGCCGCGUGUGUGAAGAAGGCCUUUUGGUUGUAAAGCACUUUAAGCGAGGAGGAGGCUACCGAGAUUAAUACUCUUGGAUAGUGGACGUUACUCGCAGAAUAAGCACCGGCUAACUCUGUGCCAGCAGCCGCGGUAAUACAGAGGGUGCAAGCGUUAAUCGGAUUUACUGGGCGUAAAGCGCGCGUAGGUGGCCAAUUAAGUCAAAUGUGAAAUCCCCGAGCUUAACUUGGGAAUUGCAUUCGAUACUGGUUGGCUAGAGUAUGGGAGAGGAUGGUAGAAUUCCAGGUGUAGCGGUGAAAUGCGUAGAGAUCUGGAGGAAUACCGAUGGCGAAGGCAGCCAUCUGGCCUAAUACUGACACUGAGGUGCGAAAGCAUGGGGAGCAAACAGGAUUAGAAACCCCUGUAGUCC